UACGUAGGGUGCAAGCGUUGUCCGGAUUUAUUGGGUUUAAAGGGUGCGUAGGCGGCCCUGUAAGUCAGUGGUGAAAUACUCCAGCUUAACAGGAGGGGUGCCAUUGAUACUGCAGGGCUUGAGUUAAGUUGAAGUUGGCGGAAUUGACGGUGUAGCGGUGAAAUGCUUAGAUAUCGUCAAGAACACCGAUAGUGAAGACAGCUAACUAAACUUUUACUGACGCUGAGGCACGAAAGUGUGGGGAUCAAACAGG
rnacentral:rRNA from 1 species